AGACGAAUAAUCAAAAAAAUGCUGUCUUUUAUGUCACUUUUUUUUCUCCACACAUGUUAAGUCUGUGGAAGCCAGGCGUGUCCGAGUUCUUCUUCAGGGACUGAGUGACAGGCGGAGAGAGCACCCGCCCGAAGAGCAUCCAUGGCGAUGCCACGCUUCCCAGGAGGGACGCCAGAAGAAAUACAACGUUACAGGUAACAGGUAAGAGGUGGCAAAUAUACAAGGAUAGAAAACAAUAAAACAAUAAAACAAAAAAAAUGAAUACAAAUAAACAACAGAUUUUGUUGCACUUGUUUCUCUCGUCUUCGAGAGCGUACGUCUUCUGUGUUUUGAAAAGAUCAACGCACUUUGUUUUUUCCCUACCACAUAAAACAAGAUAAAGAUCGACACUUCGAUUUCUUUUGGUAACAAAAGCAAGACAGAUGGGAUCCUCCAGCUGAAUCCCGCUGUCCUGUGUGUGGAUCGCCCACUCUAUGUCGUAGGACAAGAAAAACAAAAUAACCACGGUACAAGGGCUGAUUGGGGGACCACUUCAUGGACCGUGUCUCGUUGGCACGGCACAGCAAAGACAUCCCCCAGAAUGCACCAGGGCAUCGUCUGUGAUGGAGCCGCGAGUCUAUGAACGGCGGUACAGGACCUUGGCCGUCACACACUAUCACACACAUCGUGGGACUUUGUGAACGAACACUUAGUACCUACUGUGAUUGCUGGUUUAACACCUUUUGUCUUGGUGAACGAGUAUGAGGAACCAGACCACCUCACUCUCCUUCCCCCUUCACCGCCUCACAGUUGUGUACAGGAAAUGCAGGUGAAAAAUUGACUUCUUUGUCUUUGGUUGUGAAAUACAGAUCGUAGUGAAGAGGUACACGCAAUGUGGUCACGUUUUUUUUCUAUUUUUUAAUUGAAGUACGAUGAUAGCAGUACGAUAAUCACAUGAGCGAAGCGUGGGAAACGGGGACCUGUUUUACAUCAAGUGAUAGACAAGGUCACACCUGUGUUGUGUUCAGGGACUGCAUUGUUUGGCGUUGGGACGCAAAGUCUUCAGACUCCCGGAGCCCUCGUCUCCCUCAAUGUAUUAACGGGAUUCUCAUCCAGUUUAUUUUUUAUAACAAAUCUAGAAGUGUUUUUAGCUGAACUUGUAUACUGUAAGUCACAUAUACUGUACAUGUAAUGCUGGGUUGCAGUGGCAUGAACUAUAAAUAGAUUUACAGGCACUCCAAUUUGAAGUACAGAAAUGUGAUGCCUCACUCUCACAAUACAAUCGAUCAGCUUUAAAUAUAUAUUUUCUUACAUAAAGUGAUGGGAACAUACUUACAGUGCAGUAUAUUAGGGGGUUCGUACUAAAAAACCUUUCUUUGAAGAGUUAUUUUCCAGUCGGAUCCCAGCCAUCUGCUUGCUGUUGGUGGAGAUGUUGGAGGAUUUCCACUGCCCUGCCCUUUGGGCAAGGCAUGAGGACCUUGAGUAUGCAUGUGCAAUGCAUGACCAUUGUGUAUGGUUGCAUGCGCAUGUGUGUGUAAUGUGUGUGCGUGUGUGUGUGUGUGUGUGUGUGUGUGCGUGUGUGUGUGUACUCUACACAGGGAGCCUAACCUGAAUCUGCAUGUAUUAGAUAAAACCGUCACCACGAGUUGACAUCAGUGUGAGUAUUCUUUUUUGCUAAAACGGAUUAUGAUGCGCACACGCAAAGGCCUCACACGCAGAGAAUGAGACUCCAUCAUCUAGUGACGUACGAGAACAAAUUCAGUCCAAGUCUUCCUGUGAGAACUUUGCCACCUCCCCCGAGUGGUAUGGCUCCUCCCCUAAGAGAUGAGGCUCUUCUUCACCAACAGACGAGGGGAAUGAGGGGGGUGGGGGGGG
ensembl:lncRNA